rnacentral:rRNA from 1 species
ACGGGGGGGGCUAGCGUUGUUCGGAAUUACUGGGCGUAAAGGGCGCGUAGGCGGCCUACUAAGUCGGACGUGAAAUCCCUCGGCUCAACCGGGGAACUGCGUCCGAUACUGGUGGGCUUGAAUCCGGGAGAGGGAUGUGGAAUUCCAGGUGUAGCGGUGAAAUGCGUAGAUAUCUGGAGGAACACCCGUGGCGAAAGCGAGUUACUGGGACGGUACUGACACUGAGGAACGAAAGCCUGGGGAGCGAAAGGGA